rnacentral:lncRNA from 1 species
UAUUUUUUUAUUAUUAUUUAUAUAUUUUUUAUACAUAAUAUUAUGUUUUAAACUAAUUUAGAUAGUUCUUUUAACAUGACAUUUUCUUCCUCAACUUUUUUUCGAGACACAUUUGAAGAUCACAAACCAUAUAGCAUUCUAAUACUUAAAAUUAAACAAACAAAAUAUCUAAAACUUUGAUAAAAAUAAUAAUUAAUAAUAUAAGAUAGAAUAAAAAAUACAGUUUACAAAAAAAUAUCACAGCACUAUAAAUCCAAAA